rnacentral:lncRNA from 1 species
UCGGAACUUCGAACUGUUUCUUGGUUAUUCUCUUUUUAAAGAGAGGUGGGACACAUAUUCUUAGUCACCACAUUACUAUUUUUGCUAGACACGGCCAAGGGACUCACCUAAGAAUAUGACAAGGUGGCCAAGUGUAAUUGCCCAGGAUCUUCCAGGCUAUUCUUGGCCUUAUUCUUGGUAAUUAUAUAGAAUGUGAUAGAGAGGGAGAGUUAUUCUUAGAGGAGAGGAAAUUGUGGGAAAGAGAGACGAGAGAGAAAAAGGAUAGCAACUUCAAUUUGUUUUUCUUUAUGCCCAAACACAACCUGCACACACACCACACAAAUCAACUUCAAUUUGUGAUAGAGAGGGAGAGUUAUUCUUAGAGGAAAGGAAAUUGUGGGAAAGAGAGACGAGAGAGAAAAAGGAUAGCAACUUCAAUUUGUUUUUCUUUCUGCCCAACACAACCUGCACACACACCACACAAAUCUCUGAUAUAUUUGAGAGAUAAGAGAAAGUAUAAGGUGUGAUCAUUUAUAAUCAUGAGAGUUAUGACAUGAAAUCAACGGUGGGAUAAUA